UAGGGAAUAUUGGGCAAUGGAGGCAACUCUGACCCAGCCAUGCCGCGUGCAGGAAGAAGGCGCUCAGCGUUGUAAACUGCUUUUAUCGGGGAAGAAACGACCCUUGCGAGGGGCAUUGACGGUACCCGAUGAAUAAGCACCGGCUAACUCCGUGCCAGCAGCCGCGGUAAUACGGAGGGUGCAAGCGUUGUCCGGAUUUAUUGGGUUUAAAGGGUGCGCAGGCGGGAAGGUUACUUCGUGGUGAAAGACGAUCGCUCAACGAUUGCAGUGCCAUGAAUACUGCCUUUCUUGAAUCUGGUUGAGGCCGGUGGAAUUGACCGUGUAGCGGUGAAAUGCAUAGAUAUGGUCAAGAACUCCAAUUGCGAAGGCAGCCGGCUGGGCCAGUAUUGACGCUCAGGCACGAGAGUGCGGGGAUCAAACA
rnacentral:rRNA from 1 species